GAUUUCUGGGCUCAAGAAUUUGGCCGGCCACGGUUUCGUGUGUUAGUGCUUUGUUCUGUGUCCAUCCUUCCAAUCGCUCGUGGCUCUUCUUCAUUGAUGGGUCAGGGGUAUUGGAUCUUUUACUUUGAAAAAAUUAGAGUGUUUCAAGCAGGCUUUAUGCUAUGAAUACAUUAGCAUGGAAUAAUAAUUUAGGACUUCGGUUCUAUUUUGUUGGUUUCUAGGACUGAAGUAAUGAUUGAUAGGGAUAGUUGGGGGUGCUAGUAUUCAGCGGCCAGAGGUGAAAUUCUCGGAUUCGCUGAAGACUAACUUAUGCGAAAGCAUU
rnacentral:rRNA from 1 species